GGGGUGCGGGUCUUUGGGCCACCUCCCAUCCGUGUCUAUUGUACCCUGUUGCUUCGGCGGGCCCGCCGCUUGUCGGCCGCCGGGGGGGCGCCUCUGCCCCCCGGGCCCGUGCCCGCCGGAGACCCCAACACGAACACUGUCUGAAAGCGUGCAGUCUGAGUUGAUUGAAUGCAAUCAGUUAAAACUUUCAACAAUGGAUCUCUUGGUUCCGGCAUCGAUGAAGAACGCAGCGAAAUGCGAUAACUAAUGUGAAUUGCAGAAUUCAGUGAAUCAUCGAGUCUUUGAACGCACAUUGCGCCCCCUGGUAUUCCGGGGGGCAUGCCUGUCCGAGCGUCAUUGCUGCCCUCAAGCCCGGCUUGUGUGUUGGGUCGCCGUCCCCCUCUCCGGGGGGACGGGCCCGAAAGGCAGCGGCGGCACCGCGUCCGAUCCUCGAGCGUAUGGGGCUUUGUCACAUGCUCUGUAGGAUUGGCCGGCGCCUGCCGACGUUUUCCAACCAUUCUUUCCAGGUUGACCUCGGAUCAGGUAGGGAUACCCGCUGAACUUAAGCAUAUCAAUAA
rnacentral:rRNA from 1 species